GCUGAGGGGAAGGGGCAGCAGGGAGGCUGAGAGGGAAGUGGUGGGCAAGGGGAAUAGGGCAGUGGGAAGUGGGGCUGGGGGGAUGGGCUGGGAAGGAGGCAGGAGAAUGGGGCACAGUGGUAGCCUUAGGGAUGGAUUCAUCCAUCCCCAGGGCCCCAGCUGCCAUCCUCUGCCCUCGGCCAGAUCACACCUGCUCCACACCCUGCGGCCGACAGCAAGCGGGGCCCUGCUGUGCUGGGGCAGCCGGCACUGAGGACAGGCACCCAGCAGACUCUGGAAAGGGGCAAGGGUUGCAAGCGGGAAUACGAGGCACUACAGCUCUUUGCCUAGGCGCUCGUACUAUACAGCAUCAUUCUUUGCCUCCUGCCUGCCCAGCAGAGACUGACAGAAGCUGAUUACACCACUGUCCAGCUGAGAUGGAGGCAGAAGGGAAGCAUCAAUGUAUGGAGGGAGGCUGGGACCGCACCACUGCCGGAAGGAGUGACUAUGUUUCCCUGCGCUGAAUACGGGACACCUGUGCAUCUGUUCCAAUCAUUCCCAACCUUCCAUGCUUGGAUUUCUGCGACAGCGGUAAGGAAACAGCCUCACAUUUCCCUCAACGUGAACAAGUGCCAGGAAGCAAACAUGACUGAGGUUUCUACAGCAGACAUCAUUGGCUCUGACAGGAGCACCAGAGAACUGCCUUGAUCUCUCGGUGUCUGAAUACACCCCUAUACUCACGCCCUGACUACAAGGGUAAUCAUCUUUGUGCAAGUUAGCUUGUGGAAGGUACCCUCUGAAGACCCAAUUGGCUGGCUGGUAUUGUUCUAAUAAAAUGUGUGCAGCAACGUUGUAUGUGAAAUUAAGAUUCCCGGACAUCAUUAAUACACGUUGCAAACACCACCGCCCUCCUCAGGCAGAAGGCAGGUGUGUCAAACAAAGGAAGGAAUGUGUGCUUGCUGUAGAUUGCAUUUAGGUGGUAAACAGAGUCAUCAAGAAGGAAGGGAAAACAAAGAAAGCUUUUAACUGGCGAAAAAGCCAGCAUGGAAUAUCCUUCCCCAUAGUCAGACUCAGGUGGAAAUGUUCCACCAGAAGGGAACUGAAGCUAUGAAAGGAGGGUCUCCCAGGGGCCCCCCUCCCGUUUGCCUAGGCAUCACAUCUAGGGUGACACAGGAAAACAAUCAUUGGCUGGGGGGAGUGGGGAGGGGGGACAGAGGGAUCCUCAUGACCUGUAAGUUUGAGCAGCAACAUUGCCAGAAGCUUGUAGGAAGAAACUUUACUUCAGUCUAAUAGCAUUUGCUACGCUAGCACUGGAAAGCGUUUCAUCUGCUCUUCUCGUAACCAUUUCUGACUUAGGCCUCAUUACUCGUGCUCUCUUGCAAUCCCUCUUUGUAGUUAACAGCUAGUUUUACUGUUUUCUCUCACCCAGUGAGAGUCUGCUAACGCCAUUUAAUAGAAUAAGCAGAUAGAUUAUCCCCCAAAGGAAUAAUGGACUUAAACUAUUUGUAAGAUCAUAAGAAUGACCUACUGGGUCAGACCAAAGGUCCAUCCAGCCCAGUAGCCUGUCUGCUGUCAGUGGCCAAUGCCCGGUGCUCCAGAGGAAAUGAGCAGUGAUAUAUUUAUUCCCUGUCGCUGGCUCCCAGCCCUGGCACACACAGGCUAAGGACACCA